CCCAACUAUCCCUAUUAAUCAUUACGGUGAUUCAGAAACCAACAAAACAGGACCACCGUCCUAUUUUAUUAUUCCAUGCUAAUGUAUUCAGACAUAAGCCUGCUUUGAACACUCUAAUUUUUUCAAGGUAAAGGUCCUGGUUUCCCACCACGCUAAAUAAAUAACAUGAUGGUUCCCCAGAAGGUAGAAAUUCCACGCGCCAGUACAGACUAUUGCCUGACCAACGGUAGAACCCCGAAAUUCAACUACGAGCUUUUUAACUGCAACAACUUUAAUAUACACUAUUAGAGCUGGAAUUACCGCGGCUGCCGGCACCAGACUUGCCCUCCAA
rnacentral:misc_RNA from 1 species